rnacentral:rRNA from 1 species
UGUGCCAGCAGCCGCGGUAAUACGUAGGGUGCAAGCGUUAAUCGGAAUUACUGGGCGUAAAGCGUGCGCAGGCGGUUUUGUAAGUCUGACGUGAAAUCCCCGGGCUCAACCUGGGAAUUGCGUUGGAGACUGCAAGGCUGGAGUCUGGCAGAGGGGGGUAGAAUUCCACGUGUAGCAGUGAAAUGCGUAGAGAUGUGGAGGAACACCGAUGGCGAAGGCAGCCCCCUGGGUCAAGACUGACGCUCAUGCACGAAAGCGUGGGGAGCAAACAGGAUUAGAUA